CCUCGGGGCGCAGCAGUGAGGAAUAUUGGUCAAUGGGCGCGAGCCUGAACCAGCCAAGUCGCGUGAGGGAAGACGGUCCUAUGGAUUGUAAACCUCUUUUGUCGGGGAGCAAAAGACGCCACGCGUGGCGUUCCGAGAGUACCCGAAGAAAAAGCAUCGGCUAACUCCGUGCCAGCAGCCGCGGUAAUACGGAGGAUGCGAGCGUUAUCCGGAUUUAUUGGGUUUAAAGGGUGCGUAGGCGGCGCUUCAGGUCAGCGGUGAAAUACCGGGGCUCAACCCCGGGGCUGCCGUUGAAACCGGA
rnacentral:rRNA from 1 species